rnacentral:rRNA from 1 species
GACGAAGGAUGCAAGCGUUAUCCGGAUUCAUUGGGUUUAAAGGGAGCGUAGGCGGAUUGUGAAGUCAGUGGUGAAAUCUGUGGGCUUAACCCACAAACUGCCAUUGAUACUGCUGAUCUAGAGUACAGUUGCCGUUGGCGGAAUAUGACAUGUAGUGGUGAAUACUUAGAUAUGUCAUAGAACACCGAUUGCGAAGGCAGCUAACGAAGCUGUAACUGACGCUGAGGCUCGAAAGUGCGGGGAUCAAACAGG